CGGCUGCAUUCGCUAGAACCUCCAUGAUGGAGGCUAUUUGAGUGUGAAAAACCAUACCGUCAGCCAUUGUUUGCUAACGUUAGCAGCUAGCAUUAAAUAGUUAUCACCAAUUCCUGUCUCCAACGUGUAUUAAAGACUACAUAGGCCAGCUCGGUGAUGUUGUCCCCUCGACCCUUGGCUGCACCGGUCUGGGAAUCCAAGAUGGCCGCCCAGUCUCCUCUUUUAAUCUCCAGCCAACCACCUGAAGGAAGAGGUCAAUGCUCUCUGGUACGUCUUCUAUGGUCUCCUCUUUGACCAGCAGCAGAUCAGGCUUCCCAUCCACCAUGUCUACUGACUGUAAGAGAUACAGAGUGAGAGGAUGUUGAUUCAAGAAAUUUGAUAUGAGCACCCUGCUAUGGAC